GAUGAACGCUGGCGGCGUGCCUAAUACAUGCAAGUCGAGCGAACGGACGAGAAGCUUGCUUCUCUGAUGUUAGCGGCGGACGGGUGAGUAACACGUGGAUAACCUACCUAUAAGACUGGGAUAACUUCGGGAAACCGGAGCUAAUACCGGAUAAUAUUUUGAACCGCAUGGUUCAAAAGUGAAAGACGGUCUUGCUGUCACUUAUAGAUGGAUCCGCGCUGCAUUAGCUAGUUGGUAAGGUAACGGCUUACCAAGGCAACGAUGCAUAGCCGACCUGAGAGGGUGAUCGGCCACACUGGAACUGAGACACGGUCCAGACUCCUACGGGAGGCAGCAGUAGGGAAUCUUCCGCAAUGGGCGAAAGCCUGACGGAGCAACGCCGCGUGAGUGAUGAAGGUCUUCGGAUCGUANAACUCUGUUAUUAGGGAAGAACAUAUGUGUAAGUAACUGUGCACAUCUUGACGGUACCUAAUCAGAAAGCCACGGCUAACUACGUGCCAGCAGCCGCGGGUAUACGUAGGUGGCAAGCGUUAUCCCGGAUUUAUUGGGCGUAAAGCGCGCGUAGGCGGUUUUUUAGUCUGAUGUGAAAGCCCACGGCUCAACCGUGGAGGGUCAUUGGAAACUGGAAAACUUGAGUGCAGAAGAGGAAAGUGGAAUUCCAUGUGUAGCGGUGAAAUGCGCAGAGAUAUGGAGGAACACCAGUGGCGAAGGCGACUUUCUGGUCUGUAACUGACGCUGAUGUGCGAAAGCGUGGGGAUCAAACAGGAUUAGAUACCCUGGUAGUCCACGCCGUAAACGAUGAGUGCUAAGUGUUAGGGGGUUUCCGCCCCUUAGUGCUGCAGCUAACGCAUUAAGCACUCCGCCUGGGGAGUACGACCGCAAGGUUGAAACUCAAAGGAAUUGACGGGGGCCCGCACAAGCGGUGGAGCAUGUGGUUUAAUUCGAAGCAACGCGAAGAACCUUACCAAAUCUUGACAUCCUUUGACAACUCUAGAGAUAGAGCUUUCCCCUUCGGGGGACAAAGUGACAGGUGGUGCAUGGUUGUCGUCAGCUCGUGUCGUGAGAUGUUGGGUUAAGUCCCGCAACGAGCGCAACCCUUAAGCUUAGUUGCCAUCAUUAAGUUGGGCACUCUAAGUUGACUGCCGGUGACAAACCGGAGGAAGGUGGGGAUGACGUCAAAUCAUCAUGCCCCUUAUGAUUUGGGCUACACACGUGCUACAAUGGACAAUACAAAGGGCAGCGAAACCGUGAGGUCAAGCAAAUCCCAUAAAUUUGUUCUCAGUUCGGAUUGUAGUCUGCAACUCGACUACAUGAAGCUGGAAUCGCUAGUAAUCGUAGAUCAGCAUGCUACGGUGAAUACGUUCCCGGGUCU
rnacentral:rRNA from 1 species